UUAUCGGCAUAUCGUUGCCGGUCUUGCUAUGCUACCCUUUGCCUAUUUUCUUGAAAGAAAGACAAGGCCAAAGUUAACUAUAGCUUUGUUGUUGGAGAUAUUUGUACUCUCUCUAGUGGGAGUGAGUUUGACACUGAACAUGUACUUUGUGAGCUUGAACUACACUUCUCCGACUCUUCUUGCCUCGAUGGUCAACACUAUAGCUGCCUUAACAUUUGUACUAGCAGUUAUUC